rnacentral:rRNA from 1 species
CUCGCUUUCGCCUCCCGUCGUCGUCGCCUCUUCCUUUCCUCUUUCUUCUUCUUCUUCCCCUCACCGCUUCCGUUCGCAUUUCCCUCCAUAAAACCCAACCGCGCAACUGCCCACUCGCCCCCCACCCAACGGCCGCGCAGACCAAACCCUCCUCCUUCCCGCCGGCGACGCCCUCGCUGCCUCGAUGGCGUCCUCCUCCACCGCCUCCUCCUCCGCCCAAUUGGGGCUCGGCCUCGGGCUAGGGUUAGGCGCGAUGGGUGGCCUGGGGCUCCUCCUCCCCGCCGACCGCGAACACGACCCGGAGCUGGAGCCGUGCUCUCCCCCCAAGGGCGUCCUACGGCUGCGCGGCGCCGUGCAGCACUACGAGUGGGGCAGCCGCGGGGACGCCUCCCUCGUCGCGCGCCUCGCCGGCGAGACAGAGGAGGGCCGCCCCUGCGCCGAGCUCUGGAUGGGCACCCACCCGGCUGCCCCGUCGUCGCUAGCAUCCGACGACGGCGGCGCGGUCUCGCUCAGGGAGUGGCUGGCGCGCAACCCCGCUGCGCUCCUCGGCCGCGUCGUCACCGCGCGCUGGGACGGCGACCUCCCCUUCCUAUUCAAGGUGCUGUCGGUGGCGAAGCCGCUCUCCAUCCAGGCGCAUCCGGACAGGGAGCUCGCCAGGGCGCUCCACGCGCUGCGCCCUACCACGUACCGCGACGCCAACCACAAGCCUGAAAUGGCCGUUGCCGUCACCGAGUUCCGCGCCCUCUGCGGCUUCGUCAGCGUCCAGGAGCUCAAGGAUGUUUUGAGGACUGUACCUGAGGUUCGAAUGUUAGUUGGCAAAGAAGAUGUUGUGAAGCUUAUGACUGCCAAAGAGCACGAUGGAGGUAUUGGAGUAAGGUCAUAUCUGCAAUCAGCUUUUACUAAGCUAAUGGCAACAAGCAAAGAAGCAGUUGCUGAAGCAAUUUCCAAAUUAAGGAGUCGCUUGAAUGGGGAGAUAAAGAUUAGAACCUUUACAGAGAAGGAGCAACUAGUUUUAUCACUAGAGCAGCAGUACCCAGGAGAUGUUGGCGUUUUAUCAGCAUUUUUCUUUAACUAUGUUAAGCUCAGACCUGGUGAAGCACUUUACAUUGGUGCCAACGAACCACAUGCAUAUCUAUCAGGAGAGUGUGUUGAAUGUAUGGCUACCUCAGACAAUGUAAUUCGUGCUGGUCUGACUCCUAAGUACAAAGAUGUCCAAACUCUUUGCUCCAUGCUGACAUACAAGCAGAUGUUCCCCGAAAUUUUGCAAGGUGUUCUGGUUCAGCCAUAUGUAAUUCGUUAUACACCCCCAUUCGAUGAGUUUGAAGUUGAUCGCUACUUACUACCUCAAGGUGAAUCGGUUACCAUGUUACCAGUGCCUGGCCCAUCCAUCUUCCUCGUCAUGACUGGGGAGGGCGAGAUCCAGGCUGAUGGCAUGCCUGACGAAGGAGUAGCAAAAGAAGGGGAUGUUUUCUUUGUGCCGGCACGCACGGAGGUGAAGCUUCACGCUUCUGGCCCUGGGUGCUUGCAGCUGUACAGAGCCGGAGUAAACAGCAGAUUCUUCUGUUGACAUGGAUAACCCUGCAGAUGGGUAAUUUCAAGGGCCAUGGUUGUUCCAAGAGGGAUCAUCCGGUGUUCGCACUACGUUACCAGGUUAGUUAGCCAAAGUUUAUCAUAGUGUAUAGGCAAGUCGUGAGUUGAGUCCAUUCGUUCAUAUCUUAAUCAUGUUUACGUAUUCAUAGGCAUCUAAUUUUCAGUAAGCUGGGAUGAGAAAAUGCAGUCUGUAGUUGAGCUUCAACUAUAUGUGUACAUGGAAAUUGGGAAGGAAAAUGAAUGCCUCGUUAUCUCGUGCUUAAUAGUGUUUGAAAACGUUUCG